UAUCAUAAAUACAGACGACAAAUGUUAUUACCUCUUGAAUAGCCAAUAGAUGUUAAAAGAUUUUAACGUCUGUUGUCUGAUAAAACGAUAAGCAUGCUUUUUGAAUAGAAAAUGUUUUCGGUAAAAGAAAGUAAAAGUUUGAAUAACAGAUAAGUUGUUUGCGUUGUCAUGACAGUUUGUCAUUCUUUUUUAAAUCUGUGAAAAGAAUAUGGAUAAAAUACUACAGUGUUAGUGUUGAACAAUUAUUGAAUGGUCCGAGAGAUUGAACAUUAUUUGCAAAUUAUGCAUUCAUUAUGUUUUCAUUAUGUCUUAAUAAUGUAUGAAAUAAAAGGAGGUACUUCACUGCGCACGUCCAUGAACAUGUUUUACUUUCGAUUUCUCAACCAAGGUACUCCUGCCGAAGCUCAUGAUCGUAUUUCAACCGGAUGUAGAUGUUUUGGUGUUCUGUUCCGGCACCUUGGUUGCCAAAAUGAAUGGCGUUUUUAGGCUAAAGAGUAUCCAGAACUGAGUAUGAUGUCUGACAACCGAGCUGUGGCGUGGAAAUGGAACCAGACGAAGGAAAAAGAAAACCCAAGUUAUACAGUCUCUCUGGAAAUGCUACAAUAUUUUAGAAACAUUUAAAAACGUGUUACUAAACUUUCAGUUCCAUUAUUUGAAGUUUUCCCACAUUGUAGUGUUGAAUUUUGAGCUGAACAAAGUUCCUGAACUCUGGAGCAAAAAGGUGAUUUAGAAACGACAAUUCUUACGGCUUACAUGAUUCGUGAUACAUAUUUGCAAACCGGAACCAAGAAAAAAUAAGAAGUCUUAGCUAAUUAGACGUGACGCCAUUUUUAAAGAAAAUGGAAAAUGAAAAUAAUAUUACCCUUGAGGAACUGGAUAAAUCAGAAAGAUUAAAGUAUCUUCCUCUUACAGUGUUGCUCGUGACCAUCAUGGUGAUUGGAAUUGUCGGUAAUACCCUUGUACUUAUCGUCUAUAAAACGAAAUUCACUAGAUCUAGCGCUAGAUGCUAUAUCCUAAGUCUAGCGAUGGCAGAUCUGGCUGUGUGUCUAUUUGGAAUACCAUACCAUCUUCUUGACUUGACUCUGAUUUUGACAUACACACAUACUAAUGUAUGUAAAGUAUUGAGUUUCUUUAUAGGUGCUUGCACUCUCAGUUCGGUGUUUAUUCUUCUAGUUGUUGGACUAGACAGAUAUUUCAAAGUGUGCAGGCCUUUAAAAAGACAAAUUAGAGACUUCGGUGAUAGAAAAGCGUGUUUACUCGCAACAUUUGGCGCAGUUGUAAUUUCUAUUCCAAAUGGUUUCAUAUACGGGCAAAGUUCUGUACUGACGCCGGUGAACAAUCUCACGGGUGUGGAAUGUUUCAUUGCCGACGAAUAUCACGGAUCUGAUCUAGCCGUUGGAUAUUUGGGUUUCAAUAUGUUAGUUUUUGUAAUGUCAGUAUUGUUUCUAAUCAUAAUCUAUGGUUUUAUCUGCCGGAAAAUAUAUCAGCAUGAUAAAAUGUCAGUGGAGAUAACUUUGAAGAAAUCUAAAAAGAUUUGUUUUUGUUUCACAGUUGACAAUCAAGACGAGGAAGAUGGCGGUGAAGAGCUUACUAGCGCGUUGAAUAAUGCAUUGACUGAUGAUAUCACAGAUACACAUUUCGUUACUAACGCUGAAUUUCAAAGCUCUGCCAUCGAAACGGAGACGACAGAGAAAAAAGUUUUAAAUGUAAAGUUUAAAAACUCAAAAGGUAAGCCUAAUCGUACAGAAACGGCAAAAACUAUGUGCACAAUGAUACGGCAUAAGAAACCGGGAUCAAAAGCUGAAGAAAAGAACAAAAUGAAGAUAACACUUAUGAUGAUGACAAUAACUAUUGUUUUCGUAAUUUCUUAUCUACCUUUUAUUGUUAUUUCCAUCAUGGAUACAGUUGAAGAAGCUCUUUGGACUGAUAUGACAGUUACGGAAUCUUUAUUACUUGAUCUUAUGUUAAGAUCAUAUCUAAUAAAUAAUGCAGCUAACCCCGUCAUAUACAGUUUUUGGGACAAUAGAUUUCGGAACGAAACCAAGCGGCUACUACGGAAGUUUGCGUUUUGUUUCAGAAAUUAAAAUAGGGAAAAUAUAUACGAGCAAAGACCAGGAGCAGAAUGGCUAAACACAUUGUGUGCUUUAACAAAGAAUAUUAAGGCUGGAACUGUUAAUUUGGGCGCUGAGACAGUAAAGUGAAGCAGUUUAAGUGGAUAGAAAUAGGGCAUUGAGAAAUAAACAGUGAAUUGAAGCAGUUUGAGUGGAGAGAAAUAGGGCACUGAGACAUAAACAGUGAAGUGACGUGAAGCAGUUUAAGUGGAUAGAAAUAGGGCACUGAGAAAUGAACAGUGAAUUGAAGCAGUUUAAGUGGAGAGAAAUAGGGCACUGAGACAUAAACAGUGAAGUGAAGCAGUUUAAGUGGAGAGAAAUUGGGCACUGAGAAAUGAACAGUGAAUUGAAGCGGUUUAAGUAGAGAAGCGUACGUUGUUAUCGCAGUUUAAUUAGGAGAAUGAAAAAGUUAAAUGUAAUACUAAAUACUGGCCUUUAUUUCACACCAAGUUCCAUAUUUUUUAACAAUAAUUACAAAAAGGUACCAGUCACAAAUGAUUUGGCAAGGAUUCUGAAUUUAAACUUUCAUCAAGUUUAACGUAGGUACGUUUCCAAAGUCGGAUGAAUUUCACUAUGUCAACAACAUCAUGUAACACAAUAUUUUGGUUUGAGUUUAUCUCUUUGAGCCUGCCAAACUACCUAGUACACAUUUUCUAGGAAUAGUGACAAUUAUAAAAUUCCGUUGUGUUAAGUUUUUAAGUCACCCUGACCGAUUCGGUCAUUUUACGAUAUUUAAACCUUAAUGCUUGAGGAUCUCCCCUAGUGCCGCAUUAUUUCGGACACAGGCACACAAGUGUGUAGAGGUAGACAGUCGAUUAGUUUGGAUGAAUUCCGCACCAGAGAUGAGUUCGAACCAACCUAGGGGCAAUUGGUUCGAAGUCAGAGGCCGUAACCACUUAGCCAAGGAAGCUUUUUAGAAAAGUGAAUUGAUCAAUAUAAAUCGAUCUAUAGAUAAGCUGUUAAUUAUAUUUUCUUUGAUUAUUUUUAUAAAUGCUAGAUUUAUUUUAAGAUAACAAGUGGUUGAAAUAAAAUACAUGUGUCUAAAAUAUCUGAUAUGAUCAUCAUAUCAGAUAUUUUAGACACAUGUAUUUUCUCUUUCAACUAAAUCUUUUAAGAUUCUAUAUCAUCAGAUGAUAUAGAAUCUUAAAAGAUUUAGCUGAAAGAGAUGUUUAAAGUAUGUUUUGAGGUUUUUAGGCCGAUCAUAGACAUAGAUUGGUUUUAUCGAGCUAGAUAUGUUUUACAGAGCGUUGUUUGUCACGAAAUCUGAAUAAAAUAGUGAUAAAUAUUCAAUAUAAGUUUGAAGUUAUAUGAAUGCUGCCUAAAUACACCGUACACAUCGAUCGCGCCUUUGGGUAUUAAGAGAAUAUGGUAUUGUAUUAAUAUAGCUAUGUAUUGAUAUCAAUGUAUCAGCUCCAGGGACAGAGGAAGGGAAAUAUAAAAAAAAAUGUAAUAAUGGAGUCCACAUGGUGCGGCCUGAUGUGUAACCCGUUAUUACUCUUCAAGUUCCGAAGUAAUUUAAUUACCGUUAUUUUGAUUUACUGGCUAUUAAUUCGUUUAUGAAUGAACACCAAUAUUAAUUAAUUAGACUGAAUUGCAUUAACUUCAGGGAAGCGUGCUUACUGUAGUUCGGAGGCAGUAAAGGGAUUGUCGAAAUAAAGUUAGUUGUGUACCAAACGUAAUAAAAUAUGACGUACCGUUUUGGUCAAAAGUCUGAAAUCGCUCGAGCGGUACCAUAAUGCACGGUUAGCGUGCAAAUUUACACGUUCUCCGUGUAAAUUUACACGCUUACUGUGUAUUUCAAUCGGUAGAUCUAUAAAAGUACACGCUUACCGUGUAUUUUUACGCGUUUACCGGGUAAAAUAUACGCUUAGCGUACAA